rnacentral:rRNA from 1 species
UACGUAGGGUGCAAGCGUUGUCCGGAAUUAUUGGGCGUAAAGAGUUCGUAGGCGGUUUGUCGCGUCCGUUGUGAAAGCUUGGGGCUCAACCCCAAGUCUGCAGUGGAUACGGGCAGACUAGAGUCAGGUAGGGGAGAACGGAAUUCCUGGUGUAGCGGUGAAAUGCGCAGAUAUCAGGAGGAACACCGGUGGCGAAGGCGGUUCUCUGGG